CGGAGCCCUCGGGAGGGAAGCACUGUGUGGGUGCACCCCCAUUUCGUUUCGUACCGCACGCGUUGAGCCCUGCCCAGUUCUCCCGCGUGCCGCGGUCCCGGUGCCGCCGUGCUUGGGAGGGAGCCGUUAUGCUGUUCCGUCCACCGCAGGCGCCCGGCGCGCCCAGAGAACCGGGAGCGCUGUGUCCUUGCUCCCCAAGGGCUGCUUUGUCCACCGCACCGGUACCAAGGUCCUGAGGGUGUCCCGAAGCUUCCGAGGCCCAGGCAGAGGGAGGAGAGGGGCGAGGAGGUGGACCAGGUGGUGUCCGCUGCUCUCAGGCAGGCAUCCCCGCCAGGACGGAGAGCCCUGGCCGCCAGCAGCGCUCCCUUUCUGCUCUUGCCCUGUGUCUGGAGACCACGCGUGGGGCUGGGGGGACGCCCAGGGCAAGGAGUGCUCAGGGAGGACACUGCUGGACGAGGAGCCUGUGGCCACAUUCGAGGAAGGGAGCUGGCUACCUGGGCCUCAGGUAUGCAGGAGAGGGACUGGGGCGGAGAGUGGGGUGAGGCCUGGCAGAGAGGCUGAGUGGGGCAAGACAAGGGCAACCUUUCCAGCUUUACCUGCACAAAUACCAGCGUUCUCUGGCUCCUUGUGAAGCCCCGCAAGCUCCCCUGCCUGGGUCAAAGCACUAGGGGGUUGUACCGUUAGAAGCAGUCAAGUAAGUCGGAGGGAAUUUCAGGGUCACGGGGCUUGUCGUUCCCUGGAGAAAGCUGAGAAAAUGCCACGUUCUCCCAGGAAAUGUACCAUGUUCCCCAUAGUGCUGCCCAUGUUGCAGGUAAGAGACGGGAGGAGGGAUCUGAAUGGGAAAAAAGGCAGGAGAAAAGGCCUGCUGAUCCUUCUGUGGCCCCCAAGUUGUAAAUACUAGACCUUGGAGGGAAAUGAAAGGGUUCACGGCAGAAGCCCAGGACUUAGGAGAAGGGGACGCUAAGAGCAACAUGCCCCCCUUAGACUGGAGGGGCAGAAGGGACGUGAUGAGGCUGGGGACGCUUGUGGGUCCUAGAGGAAGGCGUCCUUGGGCUGAGCCCUGGGAAGGUGUGAAAGUGCCAGAAAGGUUUGUGGGGCGGAAGGGAGGCCUCUGUCUGGCUUCUUCGAGCCCUGGCGGGCGGGAGCGCUUGGGAAGGAAGCCCUGUGUGGUGCUGCCAGCUGGGCCAGGUCUCAAAGGCCUCAGACUGGUGCCCUGUGCCUCUGCGAGAGGUAGGAGGAGCCGAGCUGCUUCCGACAGAGAGAUGCCUACUAGGGAACGUGCGGCAGCCUAAACUGGAAACAUCCCAAAUAUCCUUCCACGAGGGAAUGAGAAGAUGAAAGAAAAAUUGUAGCAGCUUCGUGCAGCGGAUGCUUCUCAGCGAUGAAGGCUUGAUUGUUCAAUUUCAUCCAGUGUCAAUAAUAAAAACGAUCAUAUGGUUUUGUUCCUCUGGCCUAUAAAUGUGCAUAGCUGAAGGGCAGAGCGGUGGCAAGCCUGCAGCUGCCCUUCCAGAAGUGCGCGCCUUCACUUCCAGGCCCAGGUCACAAGUGGAACUCGAAACGAGAAGAGACAGGAGUCUGCAGGCUGACAACUGGGAGCCCACAAGUUAAGGAAACUACCCCCUGGGUACACAAUCCACUCUUUGGGUGAAAUCCUAACCAACCAGUUGGUUGAGUCAAGGGUGGAGACCUGAGCCCUGUUGGUCCAAAAGGUUGCCCUGGAGAUACAGGUCUUGCCUCAGCGGCUUUCCUGGAGUUUUCUUCCGGUAGCCUAAUAAAGGUCCCAGUUCUGUGCAGCAGGACAAUUUUUGUGUACCAGGAUCUUGUCACGCUCAGGUGAAGCUGAGAACAUGGUGUUUGUUUCUGGUCGUCUGUCUAAAUAUAAAAGCUAAAAAGGAACCAAAAUGGCAUGGGAAUUAUCUAGUACCUGUAUCUCCAAGAACUGCGUUGGGUGGAAUUUAGCUAUGGAGUGGGGGGAAGGUGCCAGUCAGUCACUAGGAUCUAGAAUUUUGCCUGUUAGCUUAGGAUUCCAAUCUAGACAACUAAAAUUUCAGGAAAGAUUGACCAACUUUUAUAUGAAAAAUUGGUUCAAGUGGUGGCCCAAUGUAUUUGAGGCCGCCCUUGCUGGUGUUUCUCUGCCUACUUAAUAGACUGCUUCGGAGGAAGCACACCCCGUAGACAAGGCCAGCUGUGUCCAUUACUGGGGACACCUUAACUUAUACCACUAGAGUCUUAACCCUGCAAGCUUUGGAAUCCUAUAUAAAGUUCGUUGCAUCUCCUACUGGAAAAUAUGGGGGGUGCUCCAGGGUUGAUAUAGGAAACCAUCCUACCAGCCUUGAGCUUUUUCUUAUGCCUGAAGGUCUUUGGCUGCCCUAAUAAAUGCAGGAGAUAAGUGCCUGAAUCUUCCCCUUUGGAAGAUGGUUGAGGUACCAGUUAAGAUUUGAACCAAGCUCUAGGGACGCCUGGGUGGCGCAGUCGAUAAGCGUCUGCCUUCGGCUCAGGGCGUGAUCCCAGCGUUCUGGGAUCGAGCCCCACAUCAGGCUCCUCUGCUAGGAGCCUCCUUUUUCCUCUCCCUCUCUCAUUGGCUGUCUCUGUCAAAUAAAUAAAUAAAAUCUUUAAAAAAAAAAAACGAACCAAGCUCUAGAUCCUCAGGGGCUGACUAGAGCAGAGCAUCUUGCCCAAGACAAGUGAAGUUGGAAGAGCAGGGAGAGUGGGCCCCAGAUAAGGCCUGCAGAGAGCUGAGCACCAAGCCAGGGAGCCUGAUUUCCCAGGCAAGUCUAGGAUAGGAGAGGGAACUCAGUUAGGAGCAACCAGAAAUGGGAACAGGCUGGGAACAAAAUGGUAGGAGAUGGUUGAUUUGAACGGUCUUUAAGAGUCUGUGGCUCUUGCCAAUAUCUCUAUAGGCCACAGGAGCAUCAUUCAUGAAGGCGGCAAGUUGGUUUGGAGCUCUAGAGGCAGGGCAAGCGCCACGCACAUUCCUACUACAGGACUGUGGCUCCCUUAGAGUCACCAGUGGAAGAUUCUGAAGGGUUCUGGGACAUUAGGUGCGGGAGGCUGUUUUAUAGAACCAUACUGUUGGGCCAUACUUCCCCAUGGCCCAAGUAUUUGGAGAUGACCAUGAUGUUUGAUCCUAAAAAGAUCCUGAUGGUUCAUAUUAGUGGCCACUUGGUAUUUCCUGGCACCUCUCAGCAGAUCAUAUUUUCUCAGUCACUAGUAACUGUUCAGAGCACCGUUACACUUUGCCAGGAAACGGCCAUCCUGGCACAACAGUAGUUAGACGGUGAGUCCCGCAGUGCUCCUCUUGUGGAGCUAGACAGGUUCCCUCUUAGUCUUGGCAGCCUUUCCGGUCACUGCCCGAAUGCUGCUCUGUGGGGCUGGGUCUUCAAACCUUACUGCGCACUACACCCAUGGCCUGAGUUCCUGAUGGUUCUUGCACGUUUUAGUGUCCUCUUUUUGUUAUCUCUGUCUGUAUUGGCAUUACUAAUCAUGGGAGAUGGGUAGGCCACGCCUGCCCACCAUCCCUGACUUCAUGAGGUGAAUCAGAAUUGCCCUCUCUCAUGUGGGAGUCCCUUUCUUUUCUACUUUUCGGGAGGAGGGGUUUAACAGCUACACAUGGAGAUUCUCCUUUGUGUUCUAACAUCUGCUGUGAAAUUUAAUGGUGUGGCCCUGUAGCUCUCCACAGUUCUAACCCCUGUGGACGUGCCACCCCAGGCAUCCUGCCCCAGGGCCCGGUCUGUACUGACACCAGGAAUAUUUCUGAUGCGGCACCCAGAAUCUUUAUACCAGCCUCAUUCCUUCUCUUUCCUCUUAUGAUUCUGCUAUUCCUCCAGUGUCUUAAAGGAAAGUUCCAGCCAAAACAUUGAAUGUUUUAUUCUCUGGACCUGGCAAAAGACUGCCAUCUUUUUCGUCUUUGAUCCAAAGACUUUGUAUUUUUGGUAACUCAUUGUUAUAACCCUUAUAUUGGGUAAGCAAAAAUCAUGAGGCAUGAGGUGGAGACUUCCAGCUAUAUACCAAAAUGCCCCUCUCUUCUUGGGGUACAUGGACUACAUUUCCCAGCCUCCCUUGCAAACAGGUGUGGUCACAUGACCAAGUUCUCUCUAGUGGGAUGUGAUCAGAAGUGUAUGUGCCAAAUUCCAGGUCUGACCUCUUAAAAACCUUCCACAUUCCUCCUACUUUCUCUUUCCCCCUUCAGGCUGCCUGAGAGUUUGAUUCCCAAAGUGACCUUUGAAGCCACAGUUGAAAAUGGUAGAGCCACUGUUGGUUCAAGUUCUUGAUUGACCGUAAGGAGGAGAGCUGCCCUUGGAAUCCAAACCUGCUCAGGAGUGUUAUGCAUAAGAAAUAACAGUGUAUUAUGUUAAGCACUGAGACUUUAAGGUCCUUCGGUUACUACAGCCUUUGCUACCCUAAUUAAUGCAAGGUAGGAUCAGGAAGUAACUUUAUUUUCAUUUCUCUCUAUGUAAAACCAUUUUUGUGAGAUCCAGUCUUCUUCUGCCCCUAGAUAAAAUUUAAGGCAGGUUCUGUGAACUUUCUGGUCAUAUGUAGGUAAUCAAAGGUGAUCUGGUCACUCUAAUUCCCCAAAUAGUUCAGUAAUUAAAUGGUCUAGCCUCGUGUAAUGGCAAAACUUCAAGCUUUAUUUAAAUUUAAGGCGUCUUCCCUUUCUUUGUGGCAUUUAUAAACCAGCUGCCCCCACUAGGGAUUGAGGUGUGCAGAGGUCUCUCAUUUCCUACUUUGUGCUUUGUAGCAGAAACUGCUCUUGUCUCCCAAUAUCCA